AAGGGGGGCCGGGACCUGGACGCAGGAUGCAAGGGGCGCCGCCCCCCGCCGGGUCUUCUCCCACAAGCACUGGAGGUUCAGGCCGUCUUUGGAUCAGCUUCGGGGAAGCCAUCCAGAAGCGGGAACGAGGACGAGGGUCCUGGGGCGCGGUGCUGGCAGAGGUGGUGGGAGAGCCAGGCCCCCAGCAGGUCUGCGGUCCACGCAGUAGUCGGUUUAGGACAGCUUGACUCUGCUGGAGGAGCUGCUGCGGACCACGAAGGCCAGGACCCCCUCGUCCAAGAGGUGGCGGUAGGGCUACGCCCCAUACUAAAAGGGCUCCCACAGGAUCACCCCCAGGGACCUGCUGGCGGCACAGGGGUGGUGCAGGUAGGUCAGAACCCAGAGCUGUCACGCUGCGGGUUGCGAGCCUCAGUUUCCCCGCCUGCAGAACCGGGGAGCCCUCACCAGAUGUUGCUCUCGCGGCUCUGGUCCACCACCAUGGAGGUGCAGUGCAGCUCCCUGAGGAGUUCAAUCUCCGCCCAGCGCAAUGGGAUCCACAGGUGCUCCCGCCAGGUGCUGCGCUGUCUUCAGACUCUUCUGAACGUGGCCCAUAAAUCAGCCGUUUUGACCGUUGUGGGUUCUUCAGGGACUCCACCAGAUGGUGGGAACGUCCUUCCUGACCUCCACUGUCGCCAUCAUCGGCCUUCCUACAGCACGCGGGUUACAGCUUUGAGACACACCGAUGGCACCCCAGCUUCCCUUCCCUUCUGCCAGCAGGAGGAAGGUAGCAAUAUGUAUUCCAGUGCUUUGGCAAGAAGAAAAGAGUUAAUAAAAAUACAUUUAAGCCAAUGGAAAGAACCGCCCCAUUUUGGAUAGAGGGAUUCAAUGCCGUAUCAACAAGAAUAAUCCGGAAAUUGUACGUGUGUGUGUGGUGUGUGUGCUGUUGGAGCUGAGGGAGUCCUUACCUGAUGCCACCACACACUUAAAGCCUUUUGGAAUCAGAGCAUGAAUAACCAGAUUAAUAGAAUGGAAUGAAAAGUUCUGAAAUGGACCCAAGUUCAUAUAGGAAAUCAAUGUCACAAAUCAGGAAGGGGAAAUGGACUUAAAAAAAAAAAGAUUUAUUUAUUUGAAAGCCAUACCAUGAGACAUGUAUGUUGGGCGAAACAGAGAGGGAGGGAGAGGGAAAGGGGG